GACGAACGCUGGCGGCGUGCUUAACACAUGCAAGUCGAGCGGAAAGGCCACUUCGGUGGUACUCGAGCGGCGAACGGGUGAGUAACACGUGAGUAAUCUGCCCCUGGCUUUGGGAUAGCCACCGGAAACGGUGAUUAAUACCGGAUACGACCACUUCUCGCAUGGGAUGGUGGUGGAAAGUUUUUUCGGCCAGGGAUGCGCUCGCGGCCUAUCAGCUUGAUGGUGAGGUAAUGGCUCACCGUGGCUUCGACGGGUAGCCGGCCUGAGAGGGUGACCGGUCACACUGGGACUGAGACACGGCCCAGACUCCUACGGGAGGCAGCAGUGGGGAAUAUUGGACAAUGGGCGGAAGCCUGAUCCAGCAACGCCGCGUGAGGGAUGACGGCCUUCGGGUUGUAAACCUCUUUCAGCAGGGACGAAGCGCAAGUGACGGUACCUGCAGAAGAAGCACCGGCCAACUACGUGCCAGCCGCCGCAGUAA
rnacentral:rRNA from 1 species